UUAUUUUCCAAGAAUGUAAUACCAUAAUUUUCUAAUUUGCGAGCUACUACUUAAUUUUGUUUACUAGUUAUUGUACUUACCUUUUAGAAGUUGUGAUGAUGUAUGACGACUUCAGUUUAGAGGUCGGUAUGGGAGAAUACAACUUCCAGUGAAUCUGAAGUUGGCAUGGCUCAUAACGACUUCAGUUUAGAAGUCGGUAUGCCAAAAUACAACUUCUGGUGAGUCUGAAGUUGGUCAGGAUCAUAACGACUUCAGUUUAGAAGUCGGUUUGUCAGUGUACAACUUCUGGUGAGUCUGAAGUUGGUCUAACCCAUAACGACUUCUAUGUAAAAGUCGGUUUGCUAGAGUACAACUUCUGGUGUCUAGACUGAAACUGACUUUAGUGUUAGUGUUGAAAGUUAAGAUGGCUCAUAACGACUUGUGUAUUUGUGAUAGAAAUUAUUAACCUUAAAAUGUGAAUCACCUUCCCGUUAAGUUGAGUUUGGCAUACUGUGAGCAAUAUAUGCUUCUUGGAAGGAUAACGUAUUGAAGUAUCCCUGAGAUGGAAGAAGAAUUCAACAACAAUGAUGAAAACUACUACCAUGAAGAUGUAGAUAAAUUUGAUAUUAGUGAAGAUAAAAAUAUGAAUGAAAUAGAGAAUUUUGGUUUUGAAGAAAUUGAUUUUUGAUUAUUAAACGAAGAUGAAGUGAAAAAGCUUAGGUCUUUAAAAAAAUGAUGUUGCAUACAAAUUUUAUAAGAUGUAUAAUAUAAAGAAAGGAUUUGGCAUGAGAAAAUAUCAUACCCGUCGGGACAAAGAUUGUGAAAUUAUAUGGCAAUUAUUUUUCUUUGAUAGAAAAUGAUUUAGAGAUAAAAAAAAUGAUUUGGUGUGGAAGAGGGCGCCCAGAAAAAGGAGAUUCAUAUGUUAGUUAUUUUGCUGAUAAACAUAGCCAUGAACUGCUUGAUGAACAUUAUUAUGGUGGGAUGAUAAUUUCUAACUGA